CAGACAUAUCUUUAAGUGAAAGCACUUGUGAAAGGGCGGGGCCUGUUGAAAGGAUUCAGUUGAGUGUGAAUUUAUAGUCAGAGGUUCAGCUGGUUGGGAAGACCAGAAGACUACCUGGGCUGUCACUGAGCUCUGGUUUCAGGAGGAAUGGACAAGAUCUUAGGAGGAUCAUUUUUAAUUCUGUGGCUUCAACUAUGCUGGGUGAGUGGCCAACAGAAGGAGAAAAGUGACCAGCAGGUGAAACAAAGUCCUCAAUCUUUGAUUGUCCAGAAAGGAGACAUUUCAGUUAUGAACUGUACUUAUGAGAACAGUGCAUUUGAUUACUUUCCAUGGUACCGACAAUUCCCUGGGAAAAGCCCUGCAUUAUUGAUAGCCAUCCGGUCAGGUAUGAUUGUAAAAGAAGAAGGAAGAUUCAAACUCUUCUUCAAUAAAAGUGCCAAACACUUCUCUCUGCAUAUCAUGGCUUCCCAGCCUGGAGACUCAGCCACCUACUUCUGUGCAGCAAGCACACAGUCCUCCCCAGGCACCUGCAGCCUGUACCCAAACCUGCAGUUGAGGCUCCAGCCAAACCCCACAGUGGGGGCUUAUGUGGGCAGAGAUGUAGACUAGUUUUCAUUUGCACACACAAGUAGAUGAAUAAAUGUAUAAACACUAGUGUGGUAGUAUGAGAGUUGUAAUUAAAUGAAAGAAACUUCUCUUAAUAAAUGACUAUCUAAAACUAAUUUUUUAUUACAGUUAAAAUAUUUGAAAUUGUUAUAAGCAUCCAACCAGUUGUGGGGCAACUGAGACUUUUAUGCCUUGCUGAUGGGAUGCAAAUCAAUAUUACGACACUGGAAAAUCAUUUGGCAGUUUCUUAUAAAUUGCUCUUAACAUAGGACCAGAAAUUCCACUCUUAAGUAUUUAUCUACAAUAAAUGAAAAUAUAUCUUCGCACAAGGACUUUUGUUUACAGCAAUUUUAACCAUAAUAACCCCAAGCAGGAAACAACCCAAA